rnacentral:lncRNA from 1 species
CUCUGAUAUUUCUGUUUCAGUUAUUGGAGCACACAGUUCCUGUCUUUGUUGUUGUGUCAGUUUUGGACCAUUGGACAUGUACAAUUGGUUUAUAGCAGGCAGAUUUGUUGCAGCAGUGCCCAUCAGUGCUUUGUAGAAUCCUUGGAUUUCCUCUUUGAUAUAUGUUGGUGUAGUUAUCUUGAUUCCCAGUGCAUUGGUAAUCUCAGUGAUCUGAUUCUGCUGACUUCUGUCCUUCAUUACUGCAGUAAAGUACUUGGUGUUGGAGUCUUCAAGUUGUAUCCACUUUGCUCUUGCCUUCUGUUGCAGGACACUCUCUUCAAUCAGUGACCAUUUUUCCAGUUG